GUGUGUAUGUGUCAGGUAAGGUACAUGGGGGAGGUGUGACUGUGUGUUAGUGUGUAUGUGUCAGGUAAGGUACAUGGGGGAGGUGUGACUCUGUGUUAGUGUGUAUGUGACAGGUAAGGUACAUGGGGGAGGUGUGACUGUGUGUUAGUGUGUAUGUGUCAGGUAAGGUACAUGGGGGAGGUGUGACUCUGUGUUAGUGUGUAUGUGACAGGUAAGGUACAUGGGGGAGGUGUGACUGUGUGUUAGUGUGUAUGUGUCAGGUAAGGUACAUGGGGGAGGUGUGACUCUGUGUUAGUGUGUAUGUGACAGGUAAGGUACAUGGGGGAGGUGUGACUGUGUGUUAGUGUGUAUGUGUCAGGUAAGGUACAUGGGGGAGGUGUGACUCUGUGUUAGUGUGUAUGUGUCAGGUAAGGUACAUGGGGGAGGUGUGACUGUGUGUUAGUGUGUAUGUGUCAGGUAAGGUACAUGGGGGAGGUGUGACUGUGUGUUAGUGUGUAUGUGACAGGUAAGGUACAUGGGGGAGGUGUGACUGUGUGUUAGUGUGUAUGUGUCAGGUAAGGUACAUGGGGGAGGUGUGACUGUGUGUUAGUGUGUAUGUGUCAGGUAAGGUACAUGGGGGAGGUGUGACUCUGUGUUAGUGUGUAUGUGUCAGGUAAGGUACAUGGGGGAGGUGUGACUGUGUGUUAGUGUGUAUGUGACAGGUAAGGUACAUGGGGGAGGUGUGACUGUGUGUUAGUGUGUAUGUGUCAGGUAAGGUACAUGGGGGAGGUGUGACUGUGUGUUAGUGUGUAUGUGUCAGGUAAGGUACAUGGGGGAGGUGUGACUCUGUGUUAGUGUGUAUGUGACAGGUAAGGUACAUGGGGGAGGUGUGACUGUGUGUUAGUGUGUAUGUGUCAGGUAAGGUACAUGGGGGAGGUGUGACUCUGUGUUAGUGUGUAUGUGACAGGUAAGGUACAUGGGGGAGGUGUGACUCUGUGUUAGUGUGUAUG